rnacentral:rRNA from 1 species
UUUAUUGGAGAGUUUGAUCCUGGCUCAGGAUGAACGCUGGCGGCGUGCCUAAUACAUGCAAGUCGAGCGAACGGAUUAAGAGCUUGCUCUUAUGAAGUUAGCGGCGGACGGGUGAGUAACACGUGGGUAACCUGCCCAUAAGACUGGGAUAACUCCGGGAAACCGGGGCUAAUACCGGAUAAUAUUUUGAACUGCAUAGUUCGAAAUUGAAAGGCGGCUUCGGCUGUCACUUAUGGAUGGACCCGCGUCGCAUUAGCUAGUUGGUGAGGUAACGGCUCACCAAGGCAACGAUGCGUAGCCGACCUGAGAGGGUGAUCGGCCACACUGGGACUGAGACACGGCCCAGACUCCUACGGGAGGCAGCAGUAGGGAAUCUUCCGCAAUGGACGAAAGUCUGACGGAGCAACGCCGCGUGAGUGAUGAAGGCUUUCGGGUCGUAAAACUCUGUUGUUAGGGAAGAACAAGUGCUAGUUGAAUAAGCUGGCACCUUGACGGUACCUAACCAGAAAGCCACGGCUAACUACGUGC